rnacentral:lncRNA from 1 species
GGUGAAUAGUGCAUGAACUGUGACAUAAAUUAGAGACAUAAAGUGGACCUGGAUCAUUCCUGGAUGAUCCCUAGGGUUAUUUCCAGGCCAAGGUGUUCCAUCUUGCAUUGUCCAACCUUCUUCGGGCAUCUUUUGUGCUUUUGCAACAAGGAUAUUGAUCCGUAUUUUAAAUUCUUCAUAUUCCCUCUGCACAGUCAAAAUUGUCAGAUUAUUAUUAUUGUUUUGAUUGGUGUAAAGGUUCAGGACUAUUUCAGAGAAAAAAGAAUUUUGGCAGUGGUAUCAACAUAAAUCCUAAUAAUGGAGAGGCAUUAUUAUUGUUUUGACUGGUGAAUUAUUUCAGAGAAAAAAAAAAUUGGCAGUGAUAUCAACAUAAAUCCUAAUAAUGGAGAGGCCUGAGGUUCCCAACUUGCAGAACUUUGCGAAUGAUUUAUUGUAGACUACUAUGCAGCUAACCAAAAAACGUUCAGGUUAAAGUAAUCUCCACAACUACUUGUCCCGAAAAAUAUGAAUGCAUUAACUCAGCCUUCCAAAAUCCUAUAAAAAGUGAUUGAAUUUACCUAAUGGAGCAUUUGCUGAAAUAAAACUACAUUACCAUCAAAAGCCUAUUUCUAAGAUGUGAUGCCUAAUACCAAUACCAUCAAGUAAAUGAGAUGCAAACAGUCCCCAUUGCUAAAUAUAAAACAUUUAAAAUUCAUGUGUACCUUCAUUGCCCUGCGCUCUUUCACAAAAGAAGGCUGAACCUUGUCCUUCAAAUAAUCUAUCUUUUGAGCGAAAUAAAACUCAGGGGCCCGAGGCUCAAUAUUGAACUUCUUGCAGAAUGGAACCCAUUUCCUUGCAAACUCUGCAGUCUCAGAAAGUGCUUCAAAGUUGAACUUCUUGCAGAAGGGAACCCAUUUCCUUGCAAACUCGGCGGUCUCAGAAAGGGCUUCAAAUGUUAGCAUUGCUGAACCAUCAUCUGAGACAUAGCAGGAAACCUUGUCGACAGCAUAAUCCACAGCAAGAAUGGACAACACCGUGUUAGCAGUAAUGAGUGGAGGUUCUUUCAUGGGAUCCACUGUACUGACAAAAAUAUCAACAGGUGCAAGCUGCGAAGGCUCCCCUUCUCUAUCAUAUCUGAAAAAGCAAGAAAGAAUUUCAAGACCUUAAACUACACUACACGGAUAUGAAAUCUAGUAUUUUUCCUAAAAGGACGCAAAAGGAAACCUUUCACUAAUCAAAAAGUUUCUUGCCUAAGAGUAUCUUAGCAACUAACCUCACGGCCAGUCUGUCAAGGAAUGUCUCACGAUUGAUCGGUGACCAUUUCGGAAACUGAUCGAGAAGCCAGGACAAGGCAAACCAAACCUCACAUAUAACUGAUACUAGCCACAGAGGAUAUGCAUCAUUCACUGGAUGAGUUAGCCGGUAUUGCAAGAAAAAGCCCA